CCUACGGGAGGCAGCAGUGGGGAAUAUUGCACAAUGGGCGCAAGCCUGAUGCAGCAACGCCGCGUGAGGGACGACGGCCUUCGGGUUGUAAACCUCUUUUAGUAGGGAAGAAGCGAAAGUGACGGUACCUGCAGAAAAAGCACCGGCUAACUACGUGCCAGCAGCCGCGGUAAUACGUAGGGUGCAAGCGUUAUCCGGAAUUAUUGGGCGUAAAGAGCUCGUAGGCGGUUUGUCGCGUCUGCUGUGAAAACUGGAGGCUCAACCUCCAGCCUGCAGUGGGUACGGGCAGACUAGAGUGCGGUAGGGGAGAUUGGAAUUCCUGGUGUAGCGGUGGAAUGCGCAGAUAUCAGGAGGAACACCGAUGGCGAAGGCAGAUCUCUGGGCCGUAACUGACGCUGAGGAGCGAAAGCAUGGGGAGCGAACAGGAUUAGAUACCCUGGUAGUCCAUGCCGUAAACGUUGGGAACUAGAUGUAGGGACCAUUCCACGGUUUCUGUGUCGCNGCUACGACAUACGUUACCCGUCCGUCGGGAGGUACGGCCGCGACGGACGUAAACGUAACGUAAGUAGUUAAGUUAGUACGGCGUUGAGACGNGCCGACGGACGACGACGAGGGAGGAGG
rnacentral:rRNA from 1 species